AUUAUUGUUUCAUUGCAUCAUUUGUUGCUUCGAUUGGUAGAUAUUUAUAUAAAUAGUUGUAAAUAGUUGUUUUGAUUCGAGUCUGGUAUCAUGGAGGAGUUUUGACAAUGAAAAGUUGUGUCAACGUUGAGCAUUUGCUAUUGUGCUUAUAAUAUUCUAGGUUGCAAAAUGUGAUAAUUCAGUUUCUCUAAUUCUAUGGAAAUGUAUCCCUUUUCGGACCCAUUGUAUAAAAAAAAUUAAUCAACGUGUAGUUGACGGUGAUCUCAAAAGAUCAUUGGAUGAUUUUAAGGGUCGUGACCUUUUUAGCUAACUAGAUGAACCGCCGAGGCUCGAACUUCAAAAUUUAUAAUUUAACUAUCUCGAUUGGAUAAAUCUGAUAAUCCACUCGUACCAAUGUAAGAAUCUAUAUGUAUCAAUAUAUUUUUACAACAUAUUAGGUCAAAUAUAUCUGAAUGAAACUAGAAUCUACCACAAAUUUUUCAGUCGCUAACUAUUAAAACUAGCGGUUUAAGACAAGUUCUAGACGGAUGUGACAUCGAACCUGACAAAUACUGUGGUUGAAAUUAUACAACAUUUGAUGUAAAAAUCAGUCAUCAAUUUAUUUUUGAACUGAACUGAAGAUUGAUAGGUAUGCUAAAAUGGUAAGUACAAUUGUACUAUAUAUUUCAGAUCCAAAUUAUUUAGCACACGUCUUACACUAGUUAGGAGUCUUGCAAUUGGUAUUCAUUGGUUUGAUGUGUUUGAGUUUUUGAUUUUGCCAUUUGAUUAGGGACUUUCCGUUUUGAAUUGUGCUCGGAGUCUGUAUUUUUGAGACAUAACUUCUUAUAGAUUAACUUUUUUAUAUGCGCAGACAGUUUUGCGGCAAAUUUUUAUCCAGAAAAAAAACAAGCAUUCGUUGUUUAAUGGUCCGUUUUAAAAAUGCUUUAAUUAUUCCUAAAUUUAGUAAUAAUCAAAACAAAAACAAUACUUCUACUAACAAUAAUAAAUAUUUGAGUAUAUGCUUAUGUAAUCCUUAAUUGAUAUUUAUUAUUCAAUCUUAAAGGAGGUUUGCAAUUAAAGUGCAUUUUAUCUUCAGUUUGGAUUUAGGUGCUUUUUGGGGCAGAAUUUGUCAUAUAAAAAAGUUAAUCUAUAAGAAAUUAAAUAACAACAAUUGCAUAACGUGUUUUUCAAUAAACAAUUGACAUUGUCAUCUGAACCAAGUGUGCUCCUCUGCUUGUCAACUUGUUCCUUUAUUCAUAUGGGGCUUACUUCAUGCAGCAUAAGGAGGAAUGAAAAGAGGCAUUCAUUUUUCUUUAUCUUAACUUUUCGCUGUAUAGAAGAUGUCCUUUCACUAAAUAAUUCAACGUAAUGUGAUUUUGUUGUACACAUCUAUCCAAUGAAAUGUAUACAUGUUUAAAAGAUACAUUAGAUACAAAUUAAGCGGCCUCAUGUCUUAACUGUCAUCCAGAAAUUGACAAUGUGGGUCGUUUAAGAACCAAACUUUACGACACGACAUGAUUUCUGUUUCCGAAAUACGUUGACCGGUUAUGGAAUAUCUACUUCACAGAUUAAUAUAUAUUCCAAUCGUUGUAACCACAAUCUUGCAUUUUGGUGGGGGUCGUAUUGAACCGUCUGUAGUUUUCUACGUUGUUUUUUGUAUACUGUUGAUUGUCAUUUCGUCUUUCCCUUUAAUUCCCGUAGAGUUCUCAGCUUUUUAAAAAAAUUUUAAGUUUGAAUGUCCAUUUUGAGUCCCUGAGAUAGCGUUUGUAAUUUUGUUGGUCCCAUGACAGCUAAUCGGUCUAAUUAUCUAUUUUUAUUUAAUUUUAGAAGACUAUUACCAUGUUAGUAGCUGUUAUUAGCCUCUUUAUGAUGGUAUCAGGAAGAACAAUCUCAAUUCGACAUCGUAGGGAAUGUGACUCGUGCAAUAUGCGCUUUAAUAGAAACUGUAUCAAUAGACCAUGUCCAUACGCAUCUUUCAAUGACCGGUCUUCCAUCUUCAGAGCGAUUUGUGUCACAGACUGCGCAAGUCGAUGGAGCCAGUGUGAUGUACAUUGUAAACGUUGGACAAAAUAAUAUCUUGUUUUCUAAUUAUUGUGGACAUCAUUGACUGCACUACACUUUCAGACUACUGUAAUGUGCAUUAUAAAAGGCGAAAAAAAAAUAGCAUUUUAUCUCCGAAUUUUUGUGUGGAACUAUUGAUCACACGAAUGAUCAAACACUGUGUUGUGCAUGGUUAAUAUUUGACAACACAUUUUAGUUUCAUAUUGUUUCUCUAUAUGUGUUAUUACUACUUAUGUAUACCCGUAUAUGAAAACAAAUUCAGAGGUUUGAGGAGAUGUGUGAAAUCAUUCAGUUUUCAUUUCUGUCAACAGGGACUGUCAACACCUAGAACAACGUUACUUUUACAACAUGAGAACAUUCUUCAUAUCUCUUAUUUUAUAUUUGCCACUAUACCCAACGUUUAUCUUUUCUAUUGGUUGAAUGUACGUGAAAAUGCAAGAAUUAUUACAACAUUUGAAUUAAUCUUAUAUGUGAUGUAUAAAUUUAAAUCAACCAAAAAUGUAUUUUGUAUAUAAUAUUUAAUAAAC
rnacentral:lncRNA from 1 species